rnacentral:rRNA from 1 species
AUUGAACGCUGGCGGCAGGCCUUACACAUGCAAGUCGAACGAGUGGCGGACGGGUGAGUAACGUCUGGGAAACUGCCGGGUAGUGGGGGAUAACUACUCGAAACGGUAGCUAAUACCGCAUACUAUCGGAGCUGCCCAUGUGGGAUUAGCUGGUAGGUGGGGUAAAGGCUCACCUAGGCGACGAUCAGUAGCGGGUCUGAGAGGAUGAUCCGCCACACGGGGACUGAGACACGGCCCAGACUCCUACGGGAGGCAGCAGUGGGGAAUAUUGCACAAUGGGCGCAAGCCUGAUGCAGCCAUGCCGCGUGUGUGAAGAAGGCCUUCGGGUUGUAAAGUACUUUCAGCGGGGAGGCGUUACCCGCAGAAGAAGCACCGGCUAACUCCGUGCCAGCAGCCGCGGUAAUUC